rfam:Dipodomys ordii contig_47396, whole genome shotgun sequence.
GGGAAAGUGGCUCAGUGGUAGAGCACUUGCCUUGCAUGCAUGAAGCCCUGGAGUUAAUUCCUCAGCACCA